rnacentral:pre_miRNA from 1 species
AGUGAAAUCGCUGGGUGAUAUGGUGGUUCUAUUCCUAGUCUUUUGAGGAAUAUCAAUACUACUUUCCAAAGUGGUUAUAGUAAUUUGCAUUCCCACCAACAAU